CAAAGGACUACUUACAUUAUUCCAACCAUUAGAGUUACUUGCUUGACAUGCGAGUAGACCUCCAUGCAAGUACUCUCGUUCGAUUGUGUUCAGUGAACUCAUUCCCUUAAUGAACCUACAUACUUGUCUUAGUGUCACAACACGAAUGGGAUGAGACUUUCCAUCCUUCCAAUUGAAGAGGACACAGUAUGUACCGGUCUACGCAUUGUCAGUAUCCCUCCGACAAUCCAUUGACCAGGAACCUUUUUGGACAUUUGGUUAUGUGAAGAAGGUCUCUGUAGUCUAACAUCAUUAGAUUACUUCUUCAAUCGAUCCAUUGUCCAUGGAUACACUAUUUAGGACAUAUAUCGUUUAUUGAGAUAGUCCUAAUUAGUAUCUUUGCCAUUUGAUGUAUAAGAGUCAUCCAUACAUCGAUUCAAUUGUCCUGAAAGGUUUCUUCCAAAGAUUGACUUUCAGGGCAUAUUUCCAACAAUCUCCCACUUGCACUAAAGUCAAUCACUAGUGUAUCUUAUACAUCUUGUUGAGAGAGUUUAUGCUCGUAGGUUAACUUGGUUAUGUAUUAAUCCCUUUUAUUAUUCAAAAGGGAUUUACUUAUUAAAUGUUUCCAAAACAUUUGAUGAUGUCUCUUUAUUGUGUUCGAAUACUUUGAUGAGACCUUGAUUCCAUGGCUCGAGCUAUCGCCCCAUUACGUCGUAGUAUCCUACUAACGACCUUAUGGUUUGGAUUCAAUCAUUGGUUCUAUAAGAACCCCUUCCAUUCAAAACACCUUUUGAAGCAGUUUCUAAAACAAUAUAUCGUCAUAUAUUUCGUUUGUAUACUUUAUACAAACUUUGCUCCAACAUUGAGACCAUUGUAGUACAAUACUAACAAUUCAUUUAUAUGAUUAGUACUUCAUUCAAUAUGAAGUUCCAUUUGUUAAAAUGGGUUAUUUUCACUUUGGUUAACAACCUAAGUGAAUGCACGCUUCCAGAGUCCCACUCUGAUGUUUCUUUCUUAAAGGCAAUAAUACUCUUUCAGUUGCUUUGGUUCUGAUCCUGGGAUUUAGUAAUAUCUUAAAGUGACAACCCCUUUGGUUCUUCACCUUUGGAUAUCUACUUCACAAGUCAAUACAUGUGUCCCUUUUGUGAUUUUAUGACACAUAGGAAAAUGCUUUCUUAAAUCUACAACAUUUGAGAUUUAAUUCCCAUAUAACAUUAUUGAGAUAGCCAUGCUAUAUCAAUAAGUCCAAUUUCAAGUCUAUACUUCAAAAUUGACUGUGUCAUGUUUUGUCAUUUUUCGAGUAACAUCUAUGUUUUAUCAAGUCUAUCAAAUAGACUUUAUUCACAUCUUGUUGCUCAAAUUAUGACAUCACUCCCACUGGCCUUGUUGUAACUUAGCAUUCAUUCAAAAAUAACAAUUAUAUUUUUCUUGAUUUGAAUGCAUAUUGCUCCCAUUAACUUUAAAUGAAUCAUACACAAAAGAAUUCCUUCUCAAGUAAUUCCAUGAAAUGUGUGACUUGCUUUAUCAAGUCUAUUCAUUUAAAUUAUAUGGUGUCAUACACCAUACUUCAAGUUUUAGUCAUACUAAGACCUUUAAUGUAGUCAUACAAGAAUUAUGCAAGUCUUUAGUGAAGCAUGUCUCCUUCUAAGGAUAUAGAAACUCAACCAUUUCUUCUAGGUGGUUGAUAUAAUUCUUUAUCAAAACUACAUAGAGCAAUAUCGUUACAUGAGAUGUUGAAUUUGGUUUGUCUUGUUGUUAAACCAUAUGUUGUGACUCAUUUUGAAACUUAUUCCCUUUUGUUUCAUCAACUUGUCCAUAUGCUUGGUUAUUUAGCUUGUUCUCAUAACAGAGAAUUAUGGACAACUCCCAACAUAUAACCAUUUAAUGCUAGGUUGACGAAACCAACAUUCAAAGACUAUUCUUUAGAAUGUCACACAACAUAGAAUUUUAACGUUUGAAGAGCUUGAGUCCUUUAACAAUUAAAAUUACAAACUCUUAAUAAUAGUCAAGUACUAUUAUCCUUUAGACAACUAUAAACCAAUCAUAUUCAAGUUUACAUCCAUUUUCACACCUCCCACUAUUUCUCAUGACUUUAAUGAGAAAUCAUUUCAUACAUUCAAAAUGUAUAAAAGUGGAUUAUAUUGGUAGAAGACAUUGUGUAGUAGCUUUAAAACCCUUUCAAGCUCAUUUGUUUCAAUCUUCACUAAGUUAAUGUCUUGUCAUUAAGUGACUAAAGUCUUUAAACAUUUUAUAGAUUUAGACACUUCUUUCUUGGUUUAAUCACUAACACAAUUGA
rnacentral:lncRNA from 1 species